rnacentral:rRNA from 1 species
UUAACUCAAAGGACUUGGCGGUGCACUAAUCCCCCCAGGGGAACCUGGCCCUUAAUUCGAUGAUCCACGAACCUCUUACCUUUUCUAGUUUUGCUUAUCUUUGCAAGAAGUAAACAAAGAUCAGCUCGCAUACCGCCGUUUCGUAGCUUGUAUCGUGAGAGGACAUAAACAGGCGCCCUAGUGGCCCGUAUAAAAAUAAAUAAGGGUUUCUCUAAUAAUUCAGGUAAACGUGUGGUCCCUAUGAAAAGGGGGUGCUGGGUUACAAUUGGGGUUUAUAAUGGCGUGGCUGCCUUAAGGGCAAGACAAAAGAGGACUUGGAAGUAAUAGCCUUGGACAAUGAGGCUGUGAAUACUGCUCUAGUGUGUGUACAAAUCGCCCGUCACUCUCUGAA